rnacentral:lncRNA from 1 species
AUUUACAUUUCCACCCUUGAUGUUAAUGUUUAUCACUUGAUUCCCACUCUACCAAUUUUAUUAUAUUUUACUUGCAUUCGACCAUUUGAUCAUGUCACUGAUACUCCCUUAUCUCCUUUUUAUUUUUUUCUAUAGAUGGGAAGCCCAACACCGUUCGGCAAUGUACCGCCUUUCACCAGAGUCUACUACCCCUCCACGGACGACGACCAGUUGUUCAAUGCCCCUUUGGCGGCACUGUGUGCGUUUCUC